GGGAGCUGUUUUGUUGAUUUAUUGAAGGGGAGAUUAUUGCGGGGACCCGGAUGAAGAGUUAAGCGCUGCAAAGAGGUGGUUUCGUGGCGCGGCGUCCCAGCGCAGGUGGUACAUGAAACCUCAUUUAAGAACGCACCCGCUAGUAUGGAUGUUUAAUAUGGAAACACCUUGCUGCACCUGUUGAAACCCUUCAGUACAGGUAAAUCCGGAACAGUCAAGCGCCGCAAACCCUGAAGUAUGCUCAUUCAAGGAGCCAGCGCCAACGAAGACAGACACAGCGGGCAUCCCCGUCACACCCCCAUUAGACCACCAGGGAAUUCAUUGUGUGUCAUUUAUUUUCACCUAUUUUGCUCCAGGAAUCCAGGUUACAGAAACUGUAUUGCAAAACUAAUUUCACCACUCUGCCAACAGCAUCCUGGGGAUAACAGAGACAGCUGCUGGCAUUCUGAAUAUACCAGACAAAUAACAGCCACAAAGCUUUGCAUCUUCUGAGGUUCCACUCAAUUGUUAUUGGUACUGAGAGUAACUGAAGCAAAGGGAAUCUCAGGGUGAAAUGAUGUAGUUACCUUAAAGCAUGCUGUUUGCAUUGGCUGUGCAACUAUAUGUCGGCGAGUAGUAUAGCCAGCCGGUAAAUGAUAAACAACACUUUUUAUUCAAGAUAUAAACAAAACUGGAGGGGAAAUUCUUGCAUCUGCUCUUGUGU